AGCGAACGCUGGCGGCAUGCCUAACACAUGCAAGUCGCACGGGGGGGCUUCGGCCUCCCAGUGGCGGACGGGUGAGGAACGCGUAGGGACCUGUCGAGGGGUGGGGGAUAACCGCGGGAAACUGCGGCUAAUACCGCAUGACGCCGCGGCGUGACAGCCGGGGCCAAAGGCGAAAGCCGCCCGCCGAGGGGCCUGCGUCCGAUUAGCUGGUUGGCGGGGUAGCGGCCCACCAAGGCGUCGAUCGGUAGCUGGUCUGAGAGGGUGAUCAGCCACACCGGGACUGAGACACAGCCCGGACUCCUACGGGAGGCAGCAGUGGGGAAUAUUGGACAAUGGGCGCAAGCCUGAUCCAGCAAUGCCGCGUGGGUGAAGAAGGUCUUCGGAUUGUAAAGCCCUUUCGGCGGGGACGAUGGUGACGGUACCCGCAGAAGAAGCCCCGGCUAACUUCGUG
rnacentral:rRNA from 1 species